UCGCUAGACUUUGUUAAAUGAACUUUUACUUGUUGUCACUAUAACCUUAUGUGAUGGGGCAGCCCCGCCCUGCACUAGCCUCAGCAGCAUCAGACCAGUAGCUGACAGCAGAAGUCCUGCCCCGGCCGUACUGGGCAUGCUCCAAGUGCUCUGAGAGUAUAAAAGGAGGGAACUCAGCUCAGUCUGGGCUGGCAGCCGCAGGGGAAGGAUCUAACUGGGAAGCUCCUGCAGAGGACCAGCCGCCACCCUGGAAGUUGCCGGGAACUGAAGCUUCUCCGGGCCGGCACGAAGCCCUAUUAUGGGAGGAGCCCAAGGAGGCAACAGACUCGGAGACCCGCGGAGAACCCAGAACAAAUGGUGCUGAAUUCCUCUGUGUAAACUUCAAUCAUAAAGCACUUCCCAGUAAUGGCUGUUUGUAAUAUGCAGCUGCCAGCAGAUUCACCCUGAGAACUGAAGGAAACUUUGCUUCUUCCAGUCAAGUUGCAUAAAAGUUGGUUGCUCCUUUUUGUCCAAGGGAUCAGUCCUAGGGAAGUGAAUGUAAACCAAAGCCAACAAAACAGAGUGACCAAUAAUACACCUCCCACCUCCCAUUUGGUGCAUUUCAACAACAACAACAACAACACAGCAGCAUUUCUGAAGCUGAAAGUCCAUGGGAAUAAGGUUUCAAACAUCAAGACAGUGACGGCCAUGGAGAGCCUCAAGGGAAUGGGUGAAAGCUCUGAAUCACCAGCAAGGAUCUGGAGAUCUCCACACAUUCUCAGCACACAGGACUG